GCCUCGGUGGUGUAGUGGCAGCACGCACCCCCGGUAUGGAUAAAACGCGGAUUCAACUCUCGCCUAAGGUA